rnacentral:rRNA from 1 species
UACGGGGGGAGCAAGCGUUGUUCGGAUUUACUGGGCGUAAAGGGCGCGUAGGCGGUCGUGACAAGUCACUUGUGAAAUCUCUGGGCUUAACCCAGAACGGCCAAGUGAAACUGUUGUGCUAGAGUGCAGAAGGGGCAAUCGGAAUUCUCGGUGUAGCGGUGAAAUGCGUAGAUAUCGAGAGGAACACCUGAGGUGAAGACGGGUUGCUGGGCUGACACUGACGCUGAGGCGCGAAAGCCAGGGGAGCAAACGGG